rnacentral:sRNA from 1 species
GCUUGUUGUGUUGGCACAUGCCUGUAAUCCCAGAGGCUUGGGAGGCUGAGGCAGGAGGAUCAUGAGUUCAAAGCCAGCCUCAGUAAAAGCGAGGUGCUAAGCAACACAGUGAGACCCUGCCUCUA